AACGGCGAGUGAAGCGGCAACAGCUCAAAUUUGAAAUCUGGCCUCUUGGGGUCCGAGUUGUAAUUUGUAGAGGAUGUUUCGGGUACCGCCCCGGUUUAAAUUUCUUGGAACAGAAUGUCAAAGAGGGUGAGAGUCCCGUCUUGGACCGGCGGUAGGGCCUAUGUGAAACUCCUUCGACGAGUCGAGUUGUUUGGGAAUGCAGCUCAAAAUGGGUGGUAAAUUUCAUCUAAAGCUAAAUAUUGGCCAGAGACCGAUAGCGCACAAGUAGAGUGAUCGAAAGAUGAAAAGCACUUUGAAAAGAGAGUUAAACAGUAUGUGAAAUUGUUGAAAGGGAAGCGCUUGCAACCAGACUUGAGCGCGGCGGUUCCCCCUUGCUUCUGCUUGGGCUACUCCGUCGUGUCCAGGCCAACAUCGGUUCUGGGGGUCGGUCAAAGGCCUUGGAAAUGUACCUACCCACGGGUAGACUUAUAGACCAGGGUGUCAUGCGACCUCCCGGGACCGAGGAACGCGCUUCGGCUCGGAUGUUGGCGUAAUGGUUGUCAGCGACCCGUCUUGAAACACGGACCAAGGAGUCUAACAUCUAUGCGAGUGUUUGGGUGUCAAACCCGGAACGCGUAAUGAAAGUGAACGGAGGUAGGAAGCUUCGGCUGCACUAUCGACCGAUCCUGAAGUUUACGGAUGGAUUUGAGUAAGAGCAUAGCUGUUGGGACCCGAAAGAUGGUGAACUAUGCCUGAAUAGGGUGAAGCCAGAGGAAACUCUGGUGGAGGCUCGCAGCGGUUCUGACGUGCAAAUCGAUCGUCAAAUUUAGGUAUAGGG
rnacentral:rRNA from 1 species